GUGCCAGCAGCCGCGGUAAUACGUAGGGGCCGAGCGUUGUCCGGAGUUAUUGGGCGUAAAGCGCGCGCAGGCGGCUUCGCGCGCCCGACGUGAAAGCCCCCGGCUUAACCGGGGAGAGUCGUUGGGGACGGCGGGGCUUGAGGGCGGGAGAGGUCGGUGGAAUUCCCGGUGUAGUGGUGAAAUGCGUAGAGAUCGGGAGGAACACCUGUGGCGAAGGCGGCCGACUGGGCCGACCCUGACGCUGAGGCGCGAAGGCGUGGGGAGCGAACGGGAUUAGAUACCCCUGUAGUCC
rnacentral:rRNA from 1 species